rnacentral:rRNA from 1 species
UACGAAGGGGGCGAGCGUUGUUCGGAAUUACUGGGCGUAAAGGGCGCGUAGGCGGUCCUUCAAGUCAGGCGUGAAAGCCCCGGGCUCAACCUGGGAACCGCGCUUGAGACUGGCGGACUCGAGUUCGGGAGAGGAUGGUGGAAUUCCCAGUGUAGAGGUGAAAUUCGUAGAUAUUGGGAAGAACACCGAUGGCGAAGGCAGCCAUCUGGACCGACACUGACGCUGAGGCGCGAAAGCGUGGGGAGCAAACA